rnacentral:lncRNA from 1 species
CAAUAUCUGCCGAGAUUUCUGUCACGAUCCUCGCCCGAUCACGGAUAUCUCGGCUUUAUUUUAUCCAUUGUAGCAGGCUUCCUUUCAUCUUGCUCGAUCUCUUUCUUACUUUGUUCUCGAUCAUGGUUGUUCUUGAUCUUGAUCGGCCAUUGAUCCACGAGCUUAUCAAUCCAUCUCCGUAACUCGUUCCGAUAUAACUGGGUCGGGCCUUAAUCUUCCGUCCCGACUUUGGUUAGUCGUACAAAAUUAGGCAAGCCCGAUUUUGACAGUAUACAAACGUGGUCCACCUUAUUUCUAUUUUCCACCUAUAAUUAAUUACAUCUUUGUUCAAUCCGAGAAGUGCUCUUCUCUUCUUCCUGCUCCUGAUCCCUUACGCAUUACAUAAUGACUGCAUUCACAAAAUCAAUCGGUAAAAUCUUUUGAAAAUAUAGUAAUAAAAAUAUCUAAAUGAAGUAGAUAUCUUACUAACCUUAAUUAUAGGUGGACAUUUUGGUGGUACCACAGUCAGCACAUGUCUUGAGUUGGCUUUGGCUGUUUUCUCUUUCUGUUUGGCUCAUCAUAUCCUUAGAUCCCGAAUCCUAUACCAAAAAUGAAUCAAUCCAAAUCAGAUAUUAGUAAAGUAUGAUCAAAGGUAAAAUGGUUCAAUGGUGGAUCUUCAUCACUCACUUUAUCACUUAGAUCCAUCACUUUGAUCAACUAAUUAACUAGAAAGACCUGAUAAAAAUUGAUCCAAGUGAAAAGAACAUCCAACAGAACAACGCUGCCCUCAAACAAGUCCCUCUUCUCCACCCCAAAAUGACCUCAAAAUAGUCUUGAAGACACCGUAAACUACCCACUAACACCACCUGAAAAAACCUCUAAAACCAGCUGAAAAACUAACGGCAAAAACAAAAAGACGUCUCAAGCCCAUGCACUCGCCCCUACUCUCCUUAUUCUGUCCUUCUACCUUCAGUGAAGUAAAGGCUUCAGAAUAAGCCCAAUUUACAUCAACCGAGGUAAGCUCGUUACUUUUCAGUAGUAU